AACCAGGUCAUGCAGGACCAUCUGUAGAAAGACCUACAGAAAAGGUCUCAGGUAUUUCUUAAAAUCAAAACUGAAUUUUAAAUUUGGUGUUAAGUUUAUGAACUCUGAUAAUAAGUUCAGUAUAUGUGAAUCCUAGGUAGAGAGGGCCACAGGCCUGUUCCGAAAGUUCUGUUCCUUGGAGGGAGGGCCCUAUACUGGACCACAGGGGGCCAGUUUGGUUUUGGUACCGGUUUGAGGACGGUUCCGGCUUGGUUAUAGUUUGAUCCGGAAUGAGUUAAUUCAAUGAUUGAAUUUUUUUUUUCUAUUUUUUUAAAUUUAGGCGCCUAAAUGAUUCCACAGCGGCAUCAACGGCUUUUCCCACCUCGGGAUUGACCCGACGAUGAAGAAAACGACGACGUUGAUGAAGCCGACGAAAUACUUCCGGAACCACCGUUGUUCCCAAAGAACAAAUCCGACAAGUAAUUCCCCAAAUCAUCAGGGGUAAAUUUGACAUUACUUAUGCUUCCAAUUUCCCUCCUUACUACCUCACGAUACUUGUCGUGAAACUCCCGAUAUACCCGCACCAGCUUGUUCGCCGCCGAUACUUUAAUCUCGUCUCUUAAUUUAGCGUCCGGCACCACCCACGAACUUUGCUUCUUGUAUGCCUCCUCGAAAGCGGAGUUAAAUCUCUUGAAACACUCUGCCGCUUCGUGAAUCGUCAUCCCCGACGCUAAAUUCUCUGGCAACGAAGAGAAAACCUUGCUCCACACCAUGCGCUCGUAAUUCAGUGCGUACUGUUUCACCUUAGCCUCGUGUUUCGUGAUCCAGUCAUCGCCGAUAAGGAAUUUUAAGCUUGAUUUUUGGACUUUGUUAACCACGUAUUGGAGAUUAUUAGCAAGAAACAGAUAUGAUAGAGACACGUCCUUGUAAAGCUCAGCCUUGCCGUCGAGUUUGCAGAGUAAAACGAGGAUGAGCCAAGCAAACCGUACAGAAAUCGCCGAGGAUGUGCCAUCUUCGGGCUCGGGGCUUCCAAAAUAAGAUUCUGGCAAAGGAGAUGACAUCGUUAAUGGCCAAUCGGCGACUAUAUCGGAUAGGAUACCGCCGUAAUCGGCUAAGAAAGCAAUGUAGUUCAUUACAUAACGCGUAAGCGGGUGGACCCCCCCUCCAGGAACUAGCUUUUUGGAAUUUUCUUUCGAAAUAGCCGAUUCGAAGUCCGUUAGCAUAGUACGCACAGCCUCGCCGAGCCGGAUUAGGGAGCUAACGGCCUGUGAACGGACGGUGGAGGUUGAGUCAAAGUUGAAAAUGGACUCAAUCUCUGGCCAGAGAUCAGCGAUUGCUUCGUAGAGGUCGAGAGUGCGAAACAUUUUCUCUGGAGUUUUCUUGCACUUGGCUACACUUUCCGGGAAUCCAAACAGGGUCAAGGCGCCUUCUCUUGUAAUAUCGGCAAAGCAAGACUCUUUUAUCGCAACAGAAGCAGAGAAGACAUUGUCACAGAGAAUCCUCUCUCCAUUGAACAACGUUUUAACCGCCACCUUCACUGCAUUUAACCAGCUCUUGAUUUUCAAUUCCAGUACCUCCCAAUCCAUCUUCUGAAUCUGCGAGAAAUUCAAUCUCUCCACUCCAAGAUGAUAGAGAGCCUCAUCAACAAUCGAUUUUCGAACAAUUUUAUAAAUUUUGACGCACUCUUUUCCAUAACCAGAACCAAUCAUGCAAUCAGCAAUCGCCUUCAAAUCCGCCAUGGCUGCCAAAGAGAUUCGCUCCACUUCAGAAACAGAGUCACCAUGUCGUGAGGACUCAUCCUCGGAUUCAUCUUCAAAAUCUGAAACACUGGACCUGGACGCUCUAGAAGAGUGAGUAGACACUGAUUCCGGGUCAAGAUAGUCUCGGUUAGACUUCAAGAUUUGGUAGAACUCCUUCUCGAGUCGUUUCAUAGCAAUUUGCAUAAGAUUUUGAGCUCGGACGAGCUUUUCAGAGGCAGAGUUUUCAGUGACGUAAUAUUGCAUUGCAGACUGUAGUUGUUUGAUAGAGUUGAGGUAUUGCUUGGCUUCUUGGCGAUUGUCAGUGAAAAGAGAAGCGAUGGAGCAGUAGUUGGUAUUGGAAUCAGAAUCCCAUUUGUAAAUAAGUAUAUUGGCAUUGUCUAUGUUCUCAUCCACUAAUGUAUCAGAGAAGGUAUGGCGAUGCGGUUGUGAUCGCAUUGGAGAAGAUGAAGUAGACGGAUUGAAGAAUACCGUCCUCAUACCUUUUCUAGGCAUAUAGAGCUUCAAGAUUAAAGUAAUUUAAUUUGAUGAAUAUUUUAGAGAGGGAGGAGAGAGAGAGAGAGAG
rnacentral:misc_RNA from 1 species